rnacentral:lncRNA from 1 species
CUCCCUGCCCCACCCAGCUGGCCCCAGGCCACCGGCCGGGCCUGGGACUCAACUUGCCAACUUACAGCCUGAGGGAGGGCUGGGCUCUUCAAAAACAGCCUCAAAUCAUCCAGGCCGCUGACAGCCACAGGGCAAGCGCCCAGAGCCCAUUCUUUCUGUCUGGCCUCCAUCUCAUCCGGCUAUCCCAGGAUCCCAGGAGUGGCUGUUGAUGGAGCCCUUCCCAUGGACUGGGCCUUUGCACACACAUUGCACCAAAUUCUCACAGCAGCCGAGCCAGCCCUGCCCCACCUGAUUGGUUAAACCAUCUGCUGCCUGGUGUCUCCUCCACUGGACGACCAGGACCGAAGGGGCUGGAGAAGGAUUAACUCCAAUGUCCAGUGCCUGUCCCUGCUUGACAGGUUCUCGCUCUGUUGCCCAGGUUGGAGUGCAGUGGUGCCGUCACAGCUCACGGCAGCCUUGACUUCCAGAGCAUGAGUUCUCUGCAGCAGAAGCCAUGUCCUCUCACCUCUGAACCCAGGGAAGAGAGGGAUGCAGCACUAAUGCAUUGCUUAGAAGUGCUGCACUAUGAGCAUGAGGUUGGGUGUGAUUCAGGCCAUGUUGUUCCGGCCUCUUGACAUGGCCUGUCCACCGCCGGGAGGUGGUGCCACUUUCCUGGCGUCCAGGCUUGGCUGAUCACGCUCUCCGACAGCCUGGGCCAUGAUUCGGGUGCCACUGUGGGGUCACGCUGCCUGUGCCCCCUAGGGCUCACAGAGAUACUAGCCUUUGGAUUCCAGUGCCCUCCCCCAGACCUCCAACAGACCCCACAGAGCUGAGCCCCAGCUCUCUUCAUUAUCAGUCACUCCAUUAUAACUAGGACACGUACGUCUGUGUGCCUGGACUGUCACUGCCCCUAGGAUGAGAUUUUCCAGGCAGCAACUCCAUCAUCACACAAAGAGGUCUCUGGAGGAUCCACAUUCCUUGCUGUCUAGACCUGUCCUGAGUAUGCCUGAACCCUGGGUGUUCAGGUUCAGGCUGUGAAACUCACGCCCACAGUUCACCAAUUCAUGCAACAAAUAUGGCAUGAUCUCGGCUCACGGCAACCUCUGUCUCCCAGGUUCAAGCAAUUCUCCUGGCUCAGCCUCCCGAGUAGUUGGGAUUACAGGUGCCAGCCACCAUGCCCACCUAAUUUUUUUUUUUUUUUGUAUUUUUAGUAGAGAUGGGGUUUCACUAUGUUGGCCAGGCUGGUCUCGAACUCCUGACCUCAGAUGAUCCACCCACCUCGGCCUCCCAAAGUGUUGGGAUUACAGGCGUGAGCCACCGUGGCUGGCCAGAUUUGUUUUAUAUUUUGAAGUCUUACCAACAGGAUUUGCUGAUAGAUUGAGAGAGAGAGAGCCCAACGAUGGAUCCAAACUCUCUGGCCUGAGCAAUUGGAAGCAUUGGGGUUUCCAUAGCCUAAGACAGGGAAGACUUUGGAGGGACAGGUGUGGGUAGAGGGAAACCAGUUCUGUUCAGAUGCCUUCAUGUUGACUGCCUGCUUGUUAGACAUCCCAGUAAAGCUAUCAAGUCGACAUUUGGGUACCAAGCCUGGAACUCACAGCAGAGGUCAAGCUAGAGAAAUACACUAGAGUGUUGUCACCUGUCUUCCCCUCCUGGAGCUCUGCUGACUGUCUCCUUGCAGGCAUUCUGUCAGAGGUAGCUGGGACUUUAGAACUGGGCACAAUUCCUGGCUCCAUCUUGAACUGGCUCUGGGACCUUGGGAAAGUGAGUUCCCCUCUCUAGCCCUUAGUUCUUGUGAAAGGAAAAUCGCAGGACUCCAAAAUCGCAAAGUCAAGGGGAAAAGUCAAGCUGGGAACUGCAUCACGCAAACUUGCCUCCCAUUUUCUUCCUAGAUAAGAUAGCUACAAAGAUAAACAAGCUGCAUACCUCCCUCCCAAUUUGCCCACAAGGAAAUUCCUUGUGGGCCUCAGGAUCUUUACCCUAAAACAGUUCUGUUGAAUUUCACCCUGGCAAUGUAAAUUGAUAGCUUAUCUUCACAGAUGUGGGACAAAGGACAGAACUCACCAUCAGGCCUCUGCCCACCUGAGACAAAUGCAUAUAUGAUUGCUUGAUUGCUUCCUCUGCCCUAUUGUUUAUGUGAAAAUGCAGAUUCACUGAGCCAGACUAGGGCACACAGGACUACUCCUCUACCCUCUGCUCACAUGGAAAUUGUGUAUUCAGUGAAAGGCUGAUCAAAGACUCAAAAGGAUGCACCCAUUUAUCUUUUAUAUGCCUAUGACCUGGAAAUCCCUGCUUCCAGUUGUCCUGCGUUUCCAAACUGAAGCAAUGUACAUCUUACACAUAUUGAUUCAUGCCUCAUGUCUCCCAAAAAUGUGUAAAAGCAAGCUAUACCACAACCUCCUUGGGCACAUGUCAGCAGGACCUCCUGAGGCUGUGUCACAGACACGUCCUUAACCUUGGCAAAAUAAACUUUCUUUCCUUUUUUUUUUUUUUGGGAGACAGAGUUUCGCUCUUGUUGCCCAGGCUGGAGUGCAGUGGCAUGAUCUUGGCUCACUGCAACCUCUGCCUCCCAGGUUCAAGUGAUUCUCCUGCCUCAGCCUCCCAAGUAGCUGGGACUACAGGCACCUGCCACCAUGCCCAGCUAAUUUUGUCUUUUUAGUAGAGACGAGGUUUCACCAUGUUGGCCAGGCUGGUCUUGAACUCGUAACCUCAGGUGAUCUGCCUGCCUCAGCCUCCCAAAGUGCUGGGAUUACAGGCACGAGCCACCAAGCCCAGGUACAAAAUAAACUUUCUAAAUGGAUUGAGACUUGUCUUAGGUACUUUGUGUUCACAUUCCUCAUCCUCAUUGGGGAUAUGAAACUGGUAACACUUCUUGUAGCCUCCUGCAGGUUUUUUUUUUUUUUUUUUUUUGAGACGGAGUUUUGCUCUUGUUGCCCAGGCUGGAGUGCAAAGGUGCAAUCUCAGCUUACCGCAACCUCCGCCUCCUGGGUUCAAGCAAUUCUCCUGCCUCAGCCUCCCGAGUAGCUGGAAUUACAGGCAUGCUCCACUACACCUGGCUAAUUUUGUAUUUUUAGUAGAGAUGGGGUUUCUCUAUGUUGG